rnacentral:rRNA from 1 species
UACAGAGGUCCCAAGCGUUGUUCGGAUUCACUGGGCGUAAAGGGUGCGUAGGUGGUGAGGUAAGUCGGAUGUGAAAUCUCCGAGCUCAACUCGGAAACUGCAUUGGAAACUACCUUGCUCGAGGGUUGGAGGGGGGACUGGAAUGCUUGGUGUAGCAGUGAAAUGCGUAGAUAUCAAGCGGAACACCAGUGGCCGAAGGCGAGUCCCUGGACAACUCCUGACACUGAUGCACGAAAGCUAGGGGAGCAAACAGG